UACGUAGGGUGCGAGCGUUAAUCGGAAUUACUGGGCGUAAAGCGUGCGCAGGCGGUUUUGUAAGUCAGAUGUGAAAUCCCCCGGGCUUAACCUGGGAACUGCGUUUGAAACUACAAGGCUAGAGUGUGGCAGAGGGGGGGUGGAAUUCCACGUGUAGCAGUGAAAUGCGUAGAGAUGUGGAGGAACACCGAUGGCGAAGGCAGCCCCCUGGGUUAACACUGACGCUCAGGCACGAAAGCGUGGGGAGCAAACAGG
rnacentral:rRNA from 1 species